CGUGCCUAACACAUGCAAGUCGAGCGAAGCGGUUUUAAGGAAGUUUUCGGAUGGAAUUAAAACUGACUGAGCGGCGGACGGGUGAGUAACGCGUGGGUAACCUGCCUCAUACGGGGGGAUAACAGUUAGAAAUGGCUGCUAAUACCGCAUAAGCACACAGCUUCGCAUGGAGCAGUGUGAAAAACUCCGGUGGUAUGAGAUGGACCCGCGUCUGAUUAGCUAGUUGGUAAGGUAACGGCUUACUAAGGCGACGAUCAGUAGCCGACCUGAGAGGGUGACCGGCCACAUUGGGACUGAGACACGGCCCAAACUCCUACGGGAGGCAGCAGUGGGGAAUAUUGCACAAUGGGGGAAACCCUGAUGCAGCGACGCCGCGUGAGUGAAGAAGUAUCUCGGUAUGUAAAGCUCUAUCAGCAGGGAAGAAAAUGACGGUACCUGACUAAGAAGCCCCGGCUAACUACGUGCCAGCAGCCGCGGUAAUACGUAGGGGGCAAGCGUUAUCCUGAUUUACUGGGUGUAAAGGGAGCGUAGACGGCGGAGCAAGUCUGAAGUGAAAGCCCGGGGCUCAACCCCGGGACUGCUUUGGAAACUGUUCUGUUAGAGUGCUGGAGAGGUAAGUGGAAUUCCUAGUGUAGCGGUGAAAUGCGUAGAUAUUAGGAGGAACACCAGUGGCCAAGGCGGCUUACUGGACAGUAACUGACGUUGAGGCUCGGAAGGGUGGGGAGCAAACAAGAUUAGAUACCCUGGUAGUCCACGCCGU
rnacentral:rRNA from 1 species